UACAGAGGGGGCAAGCGUUAUUCGGAAUUAUUGGGCGUAAAGGGCGCGUAGGCGGCCUGGCAAGUGGAAGGUGAAAUCCCGGGGCUCAACCUCGGAACUGCCUUUGAUACUGCAAAUCUCGAGUCCGGAAGAGGUGAGUGGAAUUCCUAGUGUAGAGGUGAAAUUCGUAGAUAUUAGGAAGAACACCAGUGGCGAAGGCGGCUCACUGGUCCGGUACUGACGCUGAGGUGCGAAAGCGUGGGGAGCAAACAGG
rnacentral:rRNA from 1 species